rnacentral:rRNA from 1 species
GGUGAGUAACACGUGAGUAAUCUGCCCUUCACUUCGGGAUAACCGCCGGAAACGGUGGCUAAUACCGGAUACGACACAGUUCCGCAUGGGAUCUGAGUGGAAAGUUUUCGGUGGAGGAUGUGCUCGCGGCCUAUCAGCUUGUUGGUGAGGUAACGGCUCACCAAGGCUUCGACGGGUAGCCGGCCUGAGAGGGUGACCGGCCACACUGGGACUGAGACACGGCCCAGACUCCUACGGGAGGCAGCAGUGGGGAAUAUUGGACAAUGGGCGAAAGCCUGAUCCAGCAACGCCGCGUGAGGGAUGACGGCCUUCGGGUUGUAAACCUCUUUCAGUACCGACGAAGCGCCUUCAACGGUGGUGACGGUAGGUACAGAAGAAGGACCGCAACUACGUGCCAGCAGCCGCGGUAAUACGUAGGGUCCGAGCGUUGUCCGGAAUUAUUGGGCGUAAAGGGCUCGUAGGCGGUCUGUUGCGUCGGGAGUGAAAACUUACAGCUUAACUGUGAGCGUGCUUCCGAUACGGGCAGACUUGAGGCAUUCAGGGGAGAACGGAAUUCCUGGUGUAGCGGUGAAAUGCGCAGAUAUCAGGAGGAACACCGGUGGCGAAGGCGGUUCUCUGGGAAUGUCCUGACGCUGAGGAGCGAAAGUGUGGGGAGCGAACAG